rnacentral:rRNA from 1 species
UGCAGUCGAACGGUAGCAGGAAGUGCUUGCACUUCGCUGACGAGUGGCGGACGGGUGAGUAAUGCUUGGGAACUUGCCUUUAGGUGGGGGAUAACAGUUGGAAACGACUGCUAAUACCGCAUAAUGUCUACGGACCAAAGGGGGCUUCGGCUCCCGCCUUGAGAGAGGCCCAAGUGAGAUUAGCUAGUUGGUGGGGUAAAGGCCUACCAAGGCAACGAUCUCUAGCUGUUCUGAGAGGAAGAUCAGCCACACUGGGACUGAGACACGGCCCAGACUCCUACGGGAGGCAGCAGUGGGGAAUAUUGCACAAUGGGGGAAACCCUGAUGCAGCCAUGCCGCGUGUGUGAAGAAGGCCUUCGGGUUGUAAAGCACUUUCAGUUGUGAGGAAAGGUUGGUAGUUAAUACCUGCCAGCUGUGACGUUAACAACAGAAGAAGCACCGGCUAACUCCGUGCCAGCAGCCGCGGUAAUACGGAGGGUGCGAGCGUUAAUCGGAAUUACUGGGCGUAAAGCGCACGCAGGCGGCUUGUUAAGCUAGAGGUGAAAGCCCCGCGCUCAACGUGGGAACUGCCUUUAGAACUGGCAGGCUAGAGUCUUGGAGAGGGGAGUGGAAUUCCAGGUGUAGCGGUGAAAUGCGUAGAUAUCUGGAGGAACAUCAGUGGCGAAGGCGGCUCCCUGGCCAAAGACUGACGCUCAUGUGCGAAAGUGUGGGUAGCGAACAGGAUUAGAUACCCUGGUAGUCCACACCGUAAACGCUGUCUACUAGCUGUUUGUGUAUUUAAUACGUGAGUAGCGAAGCUAACGCGCUAAGUAGACCGCCU